AAAUUUGGACAAUGGGGGAAAUCUUGUCCCAGCCAUCCACCGCGAAUGAAGAAGGCCUCCGGGCUGUAAAGUACUUUUGUCAGACAAGAAAAGGUACCUCCUAAUACGAGGUACUGCUGACGGUACCUGCAGAAUAAGCACCGGCUAACUACGUCCCAGCAGCCGCGGUAAUACGUAGGGUGCAAGCGUUAAUCGGAAUUACUGGGCGUAAAGCGUGUGUAGGCAGUUGGGAAAGAAAGAUGUGAAAUCCCAGGGCUCAACCUUGGAACUGCAUUUUUAACUGCCGGGCUAGAGUAUGUCAGAGGGGGGUAGAAUUCCACGUGUAGCAGUGAAAUGCGUAGAUAUGUGGAAGAAUACCGAUGGCGAAGGCAGCCCCCUGGGAUAAUACUGACGCUCAGACACGAAAGCGUGGGGAGCAAAC
rnacentral:rRNA from 1 species